rnacentral:lncRNA from 1 species
CCCUUCUGUGCCCGCCGGGGUGGUGGCCGCGGGUCCCUGUCCCCAGCCGAGCCUGCAGGGUGGCACUGUGUCACCUCCCACCCUCUGCUGGGUGGGCACUGUGUCACCUCCCACCCUCUGCUGGUGCCACUGUGUCACCUUCCACCUUCUCCUUGCAGGGCCGGGGUUGCAGAAGCAGCGCCGGGGUGACGGUGCUGACAGGACCCGGAGAGGAGGAGGAAGAGGAGGAGGAGGAGGAUCUCUCUGGGACAGCACCAGCUCCUUCGUUCCGUCGGUGCUGCAGACCUGGAGCUGGGGAGAAGCUCUGGAGCUGCUCAGCGAGGGGCAGCACAGCCUCAGGGAUGUGUGGACAGGACAAACUCCCAUCGGGGUGCUCCUGGCACGGCUGGCAGAGGGAAGUGGAGAAUGCCAGCUCUGCUUUCUUGAAGGACAAAGGACGCUGUUGUCCCAGGCUUGGCCAGUUUUGGACAGUGUGCUGAAGGACAGAGGAGCCUCCUGCAGGCCCAAGCCUUUCCCAGGGUUUCCAUCCCUGCCCCAGCUGCUGCAUUCCAGGGCUGAGUGCAAUCCCUUCGGCAAAGGGAAAGCUCAGGGGAAUGCACGGAGCACUUCCAAACGCAGGAACCGGGAUCGUGUCGGCUCUCUCGGCAGUUUCCCCCUCUCGUUUGGGACAGACUGGGGGACAGGAGGUGGAUUUUCAUUCUCAUCUCACACCGUGCAGAUGUGCCCUGCCCUGCAGCACCUCUGGGCACAGCUGCUGGCAGGAUGUUCAGUGACUGCACAGUUUUUGUCCCGAUUUGUGUCCCCUCUACCGUGUGAAAUAAACCUCUGGAUCUCUGCGGUGCCUCCACAUCUGUCCUGAGCAGCGGGUGCUGCUCCAGGUGCUGUUCCAGGUGCUGCUCCAUGUGCAGUUUUCUGCUCCAUGUGCAGUUCCCGGAGGUUCGGGGGCUCCAUCCCCUCCCGGGGCCGUGGCUGGCAGGGAAGAGCUGGGCUGGAGCUGCCGGAGCUGCCCGGUGCCACCUCUUGUGCCAGGGAAAUGCCAGCGCCUGCACAGGGACCC